rnacentral:rRNA from 1 species
UACGUAGGUGGCGAGCGUUGUCCGGAUUUACUGGGCGUAAAGAGCGCGCAGGCGGUCGUACAAGUCGCGUGUGAAAGCCCCCGGCUCAACUGGGGAGGGUCACGCGAUACUGAUCGACUCGAAGGCAGGAGAGGGAAGCGGAAUUCCCGGUGUAGUGGUGAAAUGCGCAGAUAUCGGGAGGAACACCAAUGGCGAAGGCAGCUCGCUGGGACGGUACUGACGCUGAGACGCGAAAGCGUGGGGAGCAAACAGG